rnacentral:lncRNA from 1 species
GUCAAAACUCCAGGGGACCCUGACUGCCUUGUGUUAAUGAAGGCAGGCCUGUAAUAUGGCCUCCGGCCGCCACUGGAGCAGCUUCUCUGGGCCCUGAGCCGGCUCCGUGAGCUUUGCUGUCAGUGGCAGAGGCCCGAGGUGCGCAGCAAGGAGCAGAUCCUGGAGCUGCUGGUGCUGGAGCAGUUCCUGGCCAUCCUGCCCGAGGAGCUGCAGGCCGUGAGUAACGCCCAGAGAGCAGAGAGGAUGCUGUGGAAAUGCUGGAGGAGCUGGAGAAGGAUCUCGAUGGGGAGACUGAACACGUGAGAAGGCGGCGGUGGGAGGGCGGAGCGAGGCGCAGUCAGAAGCCCGGCGCGUCACUGAGGGCGAGCUCCCAGACCGUCUUUUUUGGACAAAAUGAGGACAUGCUCGCAAAGAAACUACCAACUUGUGAAAUCCCUCAGGAGAUACCAUGUCACCAACCCAAGCCCGCAGAAAAGCAGCUGCGGUGGGCGUUGAAGAACCUGUGCUCCUUCAGAUGAAAUGAUAGAGACACCAGAACUAAAAAUGUGAAAUCUGCUUUAAGACAAAAGACUUCUUCAGGCAAAGAACUGCAUUACAAAGUUUCUAACACUCUUCAAGUGAAUGCUCCCCAGAAUUUCACGUUUAGAAGAACAUGUGAACAAGACAGAAAGUUUGAAAGAAGACAGGGAAACUGUCCUUGAAAAAAACAACACAAGUGUGAGGAAUGUGGCAAAGUCUUCAGUCAGAGCUCAGCCCUUAAUCUACAUCAGAGAAUCUACAGUGGAGAGAAACCUUAUACAUGUGAAGUGUGUGCAACGUCUUUCAGCUUAAGUACAGUCCUGAUUCAGCAUCGAAGAAUCCAUACUGGGGAAAAACCCUUCAAAUGUCAUGAAUGUGGGAAAGCCUUUAGUCAGAGCUCAGUCCUUAACAUUAUACAUGUGACAUGUGUGCAGAGUCUUUCAGCCAAAGUACAGUCCUAAUUCAGCAUCGAAGAAUCCAUACUGGGAAGAAACGCUUCAAAUGUCAUGAAUGUGGAAAUCCUUUAGUCAGAGCUCGAAUCUUUUCAGACACAGGAAGAAACUUGCUGGAGAAAAAGUCCCAUACGAGUUGUGAGGGAAUCGAAGCAUUUAUUGAGAAAUUUUUCUCUGAGGGAGAAGGCGCAAGGCACCUAUACUCCUUUAGUAUAAAUCGGUAGUUUCGGUGGGCACUGGUUUCCGUUCCAAGGUUAUUAAAGCCACAGGAGAGAAUGUGGAAUAUUUUCUGCCAGUAAUGUUUACUUCUCUGCUUUUCAGUACAGGGUCAAUUCAGAUGUUUGAGAUUCUAAAGCUAUAGAGUUCCAUCCCUCGGUUCAGUUCAGUUCAUUUGCUCAGUCGUGUCCAACUCUUUUUGGCCCCAUGGACUACAGCAUGCCAGGCUUCCCUGUCCAUCACCAACUCCUGGAGUUUGCUCAGAUUCAUGUCCAUCAAGCAGGUGAUGCAUCCAACCAUCUCAUCCUCUGUUCUCCCUUUCUCCUCCAUCUCUAGUGCAGCUUUUGAAAAGAUACUCUCAGUCACAUUUGACUGUUUAUAUUAUUAACCCAAAUAAUAAAAUAGUAUGUUCCUUUUUAGACA